AUGGCCAAUGCUGGCGGGGAGCUCUCCGUGGAGGUAGUUAUAGGACAGGUCGAGGUGCCGCAGCGAAGCGCAGCGGUACACGCUGGUCGGGAAGGCACCGGUGAGGCUGUUGUUGAAGAGGUUGAGGCUGGUGAGGCCGGAGAGGCCCCCGAUGGCGUCCGGGAACGGGCCGACGACCUUGGUGUUGGCGAGGGAGAGGCUCGUGACCCGCCCGGACGGCACGUCGCAGGUCACGUAAGGCCAGGCGCAGUGGUCGCCCGAUCCCGAGCCGUUGCUCCACGCCGCGAGCACGGGCGGGUCACCCCACGUGUGCUUCAUCUGCAUGAGAAGCUGCCGCUCGUCGGCAGCUCGUGCGGCGCGGUGCACGAGCAGCAGCAGGAGGAGGAGGAGGGACGCCAUUGUUGGGUUUGUCGAGCUUCCGUGCGUUGUGCUACUGCUAGGGUGGACGUUGGGUAUUUGUGCUCUGUCUCUGCGCCGUGUUUGCUUGGAAGCUUUGAAAUGAGGUGUCGGUGUCAAACCGUGUGA
rnacentral:rRNA from 1 species